GGGGGGGCCGCUCCUCCGAGCCCCCUGCCCUGGGGCUUAGCCCCGGAGGGGCCCCGCUGCCUCGGGGUGGGGGUAAAGCUUCUUCUUCCCCCAAAACCUCCCCCUGGAGCCCCCCGGGCCCCUCAAGCUGCUCCGCGGGUGGGUUGGUGGGGAGGGGGCGAUGAUGCUCUCGGGAGCACCGCGGCUUUCUCGAGGGGGUCUCCCCGGUUUGGGGGGUACAGGAGGAGGGUGAGGAGGGGGUCGAUGCUGUUUUUGGCGCUGCCGGAGCCCCUCGUGGUGCCGCAGGUGAGGAAGAUGCUGCCCCGAGCCGCGGCCAGGCGCUCUCCCACCAGGGCCCAGGUGAGGAGGAGGAGGGAGGUCUGAGCCUCUUUCCCACCCCAGCACCCCUGGAUCACCUGGAGCAAGGGGAAGCUCCCGAGCAUCCAACAAGGGGGGGGGGGGGGGGGGGGGGGGGGGGGGGGGGGGGGGGGGGGGGGGGGGGGGGGGGGGGGGGGGGGGGGGGGGGGGAAGCUCCCGAGCAUCCAACAAGGAAAAUCAAGGUUUCUCAGGACGCCCCUGCCUGCUGUUCCCAGCUUUGCCAAACCCAGGCGCUGAUGGUUUCCCCGGUGUCUGCAGCUGUGUGCCCCCACCUGGAGCAGCAGGACCCUCCUGCCACCCCAAAGCCAAGACAGACCCUUCAGAGCCCCACCAGGGUGGGCUCCCAACCCCUUAUCCCACCCGCAGCACAUCCCAGCACACAGCCCCUCCUCAGCCUUAAAGGCGCCAGCUCUUAAUUCUCUACAUUUCCCUGGCGAACUCCCCUCCUCGUGCCCCUCCCGGUUUUUUUUCCCCCCUUGGGGGGGGGGGGGGGGGGGGGGGGGGGGGGGGGGGG
rnacentral:lncRNA from 12 species